GACGAACGCUGGCGGCGUGCCUAAUACAUGCCAGUCGAACGCUUCUUUCCUCCCGAGUGCUUGCACUCAAUUGGAAAGAGGAGUGGCGGACGGGUGAGUAACACGUGGGUAACCUACCCAUCAGAGGGGGAUAACACUUGGAAACAGGUGCUAAUACCGCAUAACAGUUUAUGCCGCAUGGCAUAAGAGUGAAAGGCGCUUUCGGGUGUCGUUGAUGGAUGGACCCGCGGUGCAUUAGCUAGUUGGUGAGGUAACGGCUCACCAAGGCCACGAUGCAUAGCCGACCUGAGAGGGUGAUCGGCCACACUGGGACUGAGACACGGCCCAGACUCCUACGGGAGGCAGCAGUAGGGAAUCUUCGGCAAUGGACGAAAGUCUGACCGAGCAACGCCGCGUGAGUGAAGAAGGUUUUCGGAUCGUAAAACUCUGUUGUUAGAGAAGAACAAGGACGUUAGUAACUGAACGUCCCCUGACGGUAUCUAACCAGAAAGCCACGGCUAACUACGUG
rnacentral:rRNA from 1 species